rnacentral:lncRNA from 1 species
UUAUUAUGGCACCCUCAACGGCGUUGGGGUGACGUAUUGUUAUUCUACGUUUCUUUUUUUUUUUCUUAUUAUUUUUCUUAUUUUUCUUCCACACAUUUUGUCCAGGAGAUUUCUCGAAAUCCAAAGGACCAAAGUUGAUGGAACUCUAUUAUAUUGAGGACCCUUAGGUGAAGAGUUGCAGGCACCAUGGAAUGGUUCAAGAUGGCUGCGUUUCCAUGGAAACUGCAAAAAUGUGAAAAAUUUUCAAAAUUCUAAAUUCUUCAUUAUAAGACCCAAGUGGAUGAAACUUUGUGGAAGUGUUACCUGAUAUGCCUAGAUGUGCAUGCAAUAUCAAGAGGUUCCAAAAUGGCCGCCAUUGUCAUGGAAACAGGGCAAAAGUUUAACAUUGACCGUAUGGGAAAACACAUAAAAGCUACAUUUUCUUGAAGAAUAUAGCAUCAAUCCCAAUGAAACUUUACAGAUAUGUAACAUGGCAUGUACCAAUGUUGCACCUGUCUUUGGAAUUUUGGAAAUGGUAACUGUUAGCAUGGAAACAGCAAAAUUUUCAAAAAUUUCAAAAUGCU